rnacentral:rRNA from 1 species
GACAAGCCCUGGAAACGGGGUCUAAUACCGGAUAUUACUCCUGCCUGCAUGGGUGGGGGUUGAAAGCUCCGGCGGUGAAGGAUGAGCCCGCGGCCUAUCAGCUUGUUGGUGGGGUAAUGGCCCACCAAGGCGACGACGGGUAGCCGGCCUGAGAGGGCGACCGGCCACACUGGGACUGAGACACGGCCCAGACUCCUACGGGAGGCAGCAGUGGGGAAUAUUGCACAAUGGGCGAAAGCCUGAUGCAGCGACGCCGCGUGAGGGAUGACGGCCUUCGGGUUGUAAACCUCUUUCAGCAGGGAAGAAGCGAAAGUGACGGUACCUGCAGAAGAAGCGCCGGCUAACUACGUGCCAGCAGCCGCGGUAAUACGUAGGGCGCAAGCGUUGUCCGGAAUUAUUGGGCGUAAAGAGCUCGUAGGCGGCUUGUCACGUCGGAUGUGAAAGCCCGAGGCUUAACCUCGGGUCUGCAUUCGAUACGGGCUAGCUAGAGUGUGGUAGGGGAGAUCGGAAUUCCUGGUGUAGCGGUGAAAUGCGCAGAUAUCAGGAGGAACACCGGUGGCGAAGGCGGAUCUCUGGGCCAUUACUGACGCUGAGGAGCGAAAGCGUGGGGAGCGAACAGGAUUAGAUACCCUGGUAGUCCACGCCGUAAACGUUGGGAACUAGGUGUUGGCGACAUUCCACGUCGUCGGUGCCGCAGCUAACGCAUUAAGUUCCCCGCCUGGG